CGCAUCUGUGCAUGCAGCAUAUCAAUAAGCGGAGGAAAAGAAAGCUAACAAGGAUUCCCCUUAGUAACGGCGAGUGAAGCGGGAAGAGCUCAAAUUUGAAAUCUUGAAAGGUCACCUUUCACGAAUUGUAGUUUAAAGAAGUGUUUUCUGUUACGAUCGUAAUAUAAGUUCUUUGGAAUAGGACAUCACAGAGGGUGAGAAUCCCGUCUAUGAUUGCGAUUUGUAGCUUUGUGAUACACUUUCAAAGAGUCGGGUUGUUUGGGAAUGCAGCCCAAAACGGGAGGUAAAUUUCUUCUAAGGCUAAAUAUUGGCGAGAGACCGAUAGCGAACAAGUACCGUGAGGGAAAGAUGAAAAGAACUUUGAAAAGAGAGUUAAAUAGUACGUGAAAUUGUCAAAAGGGAAGCGUUUAACACCAGUGUUGUUUUCUGAAAAUCAACCUCUGUUAGCUUUAUGCAUGUUUGUUUAGACCUAAUCAGCUAUCUUGCAUGUUCUAUUGUUUGCAGUGGUGCACUUUUCAGUCUACAGGUCAACAUCAGUUUUUUUUACCGUAAAAAAGUUAAAGAAAGGUAGCUCAUGGCUCCGGUCGUGAGUGUUAUAGUCUUUUUCCUAUGCGGUAGGAGAGACUGAGGUCUGCAGUGUAGGCUAUUUGGCUAGAUACUCAGGUGCUAUGUGAUACCAUUUCAUAAACAACUUGUUGACUAUGUUUUGUCUAUUGCAUACUCGCUUGUACUAUCAUACCUACGCUUAGGAUGUUGACGAUCAGCUGAGCGCG
rnacentral:rRNA from 1 species